CCUACGGGAGGCUGCAGUGGGGAAUAUUGGACAAUGGGGGGAACCCUGAUCCAGCCAUGCCGCGUGUGUGAAGAAGGCCCUCGGGUUGUAAAGCACUUUCAGUGAGGAAGAACGCCUGGUGGUUAAUACCCAUCAGGAAAGACAUCACUCACAGAAGAAGCACCGGCUAACUCCGUGCCAGCAGCCGCGGUAAUACGGAGGGUGCGAGCGUUAAUCGGAAUUACUGGGCGUAAAGCGCGCGUAGGUGGCUUGAUAAGCCGGUUGUGAAAGCCCCGGGCUCAACCUGGGAACGGCAUCCGGAACUGUCAAGCUAGAGUGCAGGAGAGGAAGGUAGAAUUCCCGGUGUAGCGGUGAAAUGCGUAGAGAUCGGGAGGAAUACCAGUGGCGAAGGCGGCCUUCUGGACUGACACUGACACUGAGUUGCGAAAGCGUGGGUAGCAAACAGGAUUAGAUACCCUAGUAGUC
rnacentral:rRNA from 1 species